rnacentral:rRNA from 1 species
CACGUAGGGCGCAAGCGUUGUCCGGAAUUAUUGGGCGUAAAGAGCUCGUAGGCGGUUUGUCGCGUCUGCCGUGAAGGUCCGGGGCUCAACUCCGGAUCUGCGGUGGGUACGGGCAGACUAGAGUGAUGUAGGGGAGACUGGAAUUCCUGGUGUAGCGGUGAAAUGCGCAGAUAUCAGGAGGAACACCGAUGGCGAAGGCAGGUCUCUGGGCAUUAACUGACGCUGAGGAGCGAAAGCAUGGGGAGCGAACAGG